rnacentral:rRNA from 1 species
GAAUCUUCCGCAAUGCGCGAAAGCGUGACGGAGCAAUGCCGCGUGCAGGAUGAAGCCCCUCGGGGUGUAAACUGCUGUCAGGGUUCAGCAACACAAUGAGCAGACCCAAAGGAAGGGCCGGCUAACUUCGUGCCAGCCGCCGCGGUAAUACGAAGGGCCCGAGCGUUGCGCGGAAUCACUGGGCUUAAAGCGUGCGUAGGCGGACAAGAAGGCGCCUUGUGAAAUCCCCCGGCUCAACCGGGGAAUUGCUUGGUGAACCGCUUGUCUUGAGGCAAGUAGGGGCUGUCGGAACGAUAGGUGGAGCGGUGAAAUGCGUUGAUAUCUAUCGGAACGCCCAAGGCGAAGGCAGGCAGCUGGGCUUGUUCUGACGCUGAGGCACGAAAGCGUGGGGAGCGAACGGG